rnacentral:rRNA from 1 species
GACGAACGCUGGCGGCGUGCUUAACACAUGCAAGUCGAACGGAAAGGCCCUGCUUUUGUGGGGUGCUCGAGUGGCGAACGGGUGAGUAACACGUGAGUAACCUGCCCUUGACUUUGGGAUAACUUCAGGAAACUGGGGCUAAUACCGGAUAGGAGCUCCUGCUGCAUGGUGGGGGUUGGAAAGUUUCGGCGGUUGGGGAUGGACUCGCGGCUUAUCAGCUUGUUGGUGGGGUAGUGGCUUACCAAGGCUUUGACGGGUAGCCGGCCUGAGAGGGUGACCGGCCACAUUGGGACUGAGAGACGGCCCAGACUCCUACGGGAGGCAGCAGUGGGGAAUAUUGCACAAUGGGCGGAAGCCUGAUGCAGCAACGCCGCGUGCGGGAUGACGGCCUUCGGGUUGUAAACCGCUUUCGCCUGUGACGAAGCGUGAGUGGCGGUAAUGGGUAAAGAAGCACCGGCUAACUACGU